rnacentral:rRNA from 1 species
CCCUGCCAUUUGUACACACCGCCCGUCGCACCUACCGAUUGAAUGAUUCGGUGAAACUUUCGGACUGCAGUGAAUUGGCCUUCGGGCUUUUUCGCCGCGGGAAGUUAUUUAAACCUCAUCAUUUAGAGGAAGGUGAAGUCGUAACAAGGUUU